rnacentral:rRNA from 1 species
GACGAACGCUGGCGGCGUGCUUAACACAUGCAAGUCGAACGGUGAAGGGACCGGUUUUUGCUGGUUCUGGAUGAGUGGCGAACGGGUGAGUAACACGUGAGUAACCUGCCCCCUUCUUCUGGAUAACCGCAUGAAAGUGUGGCUAAUACGGGAUAUUCUGCGCCUGCUGCAUGGUGGGUGUGGGUAAGAUAUUGUUUCGGUGGGGGAUGGGCUCGCGGCCUAUCAGCUUGUUGGUGGGGUGAUGGCCUACCAAGGCGGUGACGGGUAGCCGGCCCGAGAGGGUGGACGGUCACACUGGGACUGAGACACGGCCCAGACUCCUACGGGAGGCAGCAGUGGGGAAUAUUGCACAAUGGGCGCAAGCCUGAUGCAGCGACGCCGCGGGAGGGAUGGAGGCCUUCGGGUUGUAAACCUCUUUCGCCAGUGAAGCAGGCCUGUCCCUUUUGUGGGUGGGUUGACGGUAGCUGGAUAAGAAGCGCCGGCUAACUACGUG